rnacentral:rRNA from 1 species
UACGUAGGGGGCAAGCGUUGUCCGGAAUCAUUGGGCGUAAAGCGCGCGUAGGCGGCCCGGCAAGUCCGCUGUAAAAGUCCAGGGCUCAACCCUGGAAAGCCGGUGGAUACUGUCGGGCUAGAGUCCGGAAGAGGCGAGUGGAAUUCCUGGUGUAGCGGUGGAAUGCGCAGAUAUCAGGAGGAACACCGAUGGCGAAGGCAGCUCGCUGGGACGGUACUGACGCUGAGACGCGAAAGCGUGGGGAGCGAACAGG